AUGCACGCUGGCGGCAUGCUUAACACAUGCAAGUCGAACGGGAAGUGGUGUUUCCAGUGGCGAACGGGUGAGUAACGCGUAAGAACCUGCCCUUGGGAGGGGAACAACAACUGGAAACGGUUGCUAAUACCCCGUAGGCUGAGGAGCAAAAGGAGAAAUCCGCCCAAGGAGGGGCUCGCGUCUGAUUAGCUAGUUGGUGAGGUAAUAGCUUACCAAGGCGAUGAUCAGUAGCUGGUCCGAGAGGAUGAUCAGCCACACUGGGACUGAGACACGGACCAGACUCCUACGGGAGGCAGCAGUGAGGAAUGUGCAGCAAUGGGCGAAAGCCUGACGGAGCAAUGCCGCGUGGAGGUGGAAGGCCUACGGGUCGUCAACUUCUUUUCUCGGAGAAGAAACAAUGACGGUAUCUGAGGAAUAAGCAUCGGCUAACUCUGUG
rnacentral:rRNA from 1 species